rnacentral:lncRNA from 1 species
AAGUGCAGUCCCUUUGUGACUUUUGACUGAGGCAAGAAUCAUAAAAGUCAUUUCAAUGCACCUUCCCACAUUCGUAGGAAGAUUAUGUCUUUCUCUCGUUCCAAAGAGCUGAGACAGAAGCACAUUCUGGAGUCUGCUACAAGCACAGUUCCAUCCAUGCCCAUCUGAAAGGAUGAGGAAGUUGAGGUUGCACAAAGACACUAUACGGGCCAGCAAAUUGGCAAAGCAGUCCAGGUUUAUAGGAAGAAAUGUGCCACCUAUACUGAACAGGAGCACAGGAGGAGGCUAAGGGCAGGACCGUCGUGUGCACGUCACCAGCACAUGGCCAUCACCAGGCUAAAACUAGACAAAGACCACAAAAGAUCCUUGAAUGGAAGGCCAAACAAAUCUUCCUAAGUAGGGAAGGAAGGGCAAAUAUAAAAAAGAAGCAAUUGAGAAGAUGCAGGAAUAA